CGGAGAACUAGUAAAGUCAAUGGAACAAAGUUUAAUUUUUGGAACACAACACAACCAUAAGUGAACACAGCAAAGAGUGAUAGUUCUCACCUAUUAAAGAAGGAAUGACUAGAGAAAUUCUAAGAUUAUCGCUUAGAUACAUGUAAUAUGGAUCAAACAUGACACUCCAAUAGUUGAGAUCGUUGGUGGUAGUGAGAGUGAAAGUAGAACCAAGAAUGAAACUUUCAUCGUUGGAGAUAGAGGUUGAAGACAUGGCAAAAGAACCAAGACAGAAUUGAUGCUGAAGGUGAAAAUUGGGGCAAGAAACCCUAAACAAUGAUGCACAAAAAAAGAACAAAUUAUGGAAGAAUUUUGGAAUGAAAGGAUUCUAUUGAGAAUUGAAGGAUGAGAAAUGUAUUUAACUAUAUUAGUGAUGAAGAUGAUGAAAAACAAAGGAGGAAGUACGAAUCAUACCUCAAUUUCUUUUAUUAAAUUGAUCACUUAUUUACAAAUUAACUAAAAGAGUAAAUCCUUAUAUAUAUACCAAAGGUAUAAUUUAGAAAUCAAAACUAACUAGAAACAACUCUUAACCAAAAUAAUAACAAAAAUAACUAAACCAUAUCAGAAAUGUAACUAAGGUCAAAACAAUAAAAUUAACGAUCACUAACAAUAACUUUUUAAGAUAUAUAUCAUCUAUUACAUACAAUAUUUAUGAUAUGGUUUAGGGUCCUACCACUUAUAUAUAUCCCGAUGUCCU
rnacentral:lncRNA from 1 species